UCUCCUCUUAAAAGGAGAGUGACGGGCGAUAUGUACACAUUCUAUGGCCUUAUUCAAUUUAAUUUCCUAAAAUAAAUUUACUAACAAAUCCACCUUCAGUCAAGUUUUAAUUUGACAUCCGUAUUUUUAUUAAAAUUGUAGCUCAUAAUUCCCUUUACAUAAACUGCACCUUGACCUGAAGUAAAAAAAUAAUUUUUAUUAAAAAACAUCCUUUUAGAGUAAUCUGACAACGGAGGUAUACAAGCUUCACAAGUAAAGGUAAGAUAAAACGGGGACUAUCGAUUAUAAUACAAGCUCCUCUGUUUGGUUAGAAUGCCGCCAAAAUCUUUGGGUUUGAAGAACAACUUUUACUACCCUAUUAAUGAUGAUAAAGAAUAACAGGGUAUCUAAUCCUGGUUUUUUAUCUUUACUUUUUAAUUCCUUAAAAUAUAUUAAGAUAUUUUUUUUCCUUGAACAAAUUUCACCUAAAAAAAGAAAUACAUUUACUUAAAAAUAUCUACCGUUAAUUA
rnacentral:rRNA from 1 species